GAGGCUGCGCGUCCGCCAUCGCAGAAGGGGAGGCUUCCCCGGCGGCACACGCAUCGUAUCGACUGAGAGACCCGUGCCCGUGACCGAACAUAUAAAUGCAUCAGAACUCCCGACAGGCACCACGGAGACACCAAAUUGCACCUUGCGGCCCGACAGGAGCUGUUGCGAGCAACCGCGUUGAACCUGGCGGCGGCCGUAGCCCGUGCGAGCGCAAUCGCCGAGGCGACCGCCCGACCCCGACGGAGCCAUGUUUCGUGUUGGGCUCGCCGAUUUAAAUGGCCGUGCGAGCAGCUGGCACUGCUCGCUUGCCACGCCAGGGAAUACAGCCCGUUCUGUGCUCGAUUCACAUGGACACAGCGCUGAGGACUAAACCCGGCCUUGCCGCCUGUGCUCAUCUACUUUGACUGGCGCUGCUCUGCCUUUAAAUAUAUCAUGUGGCACUUCUCUCUAGUAACAUUUAAAUAAAGUACUGAAAAGCUAGUCGGACUUCAGCUUUGUACGUUUCCAAGAAGCUCCCUUCGGGAAUUUAAAAUUGCAAGAACUGCAGCGGGAACGGCAGUUCAUCGGCGUAUGCAGCAAAAUUGCAUGUGUACAUUGUGUACAGCUGUAACACGCUCUUUUAUUAACCUGUGCAUUUGGUGACUUCGUUGACUAGUGUAUGCGUUUCCAUCAAUAAAUUCGCAAUUACUCUUCUU